rnacentral:rRNA from 1 species
CCAGGCCUUGACAUGCAGAGAACUUUCCAGAGAUGGAUUGGUGCCUUCGGGAACUCUGACACAGGUGCUGCAUGGCUGUCGUCAGCUCGUGUCGUGAGAUGUUGGGUUAAGUCCGUAACGAGCGCAACCCUUGUCCUUAGUUACCAGCACGUUAUGGUGGGCGACUCUAAGGAGACUGCCGGUGACAAACCGGAGGAAGGUGGGGAGUGACGUCAAGUCAUCAUGGCCCUUACGGCCUGGGCUACACACGUGCUACAAUGGUCGGUACAAAGGGUUGCCAAGCCGCGAGGUGGAGCUAAUCCCAUAAAACCGAAUCGUAGUCCGGAUCGCAGUCUGCAACUCGACUGCGUGAAGUCGGAAUCGCUAGUAAUCGUGAAUCAGAAUGUCACGGUGAAUACGUUCCCGGGCCUU